rnacentral:rRNA from 1 species
AUCUAUGGCCAUACCACCCUGAACGUGCCUGAUCUUGUCUGAUCUCAGAAGCUAAGCAGGGUCGGGCCUGGGUAGUCCUUGGGUGGGAGACCACCUGGGAAUACUGGGUGCUUGUGGCUU